rnacentral:rRNA from 1 species
UUAAAUUGAAGAGUUUGAUCAUGGCUCAGAUUGAACGCUGGCGGCAGGCCUAACACAUGCAAGUCGAACGGUAACAGGAAGCAGCUUGCUGCUUCGCUGACGAGUGGCGGACGGGUGAGUAAUGUCUGGGAAACUGCCUGAUGGAGGGGGAUAACUACUGGAAACGGUGGCUAAUACCGCAUAACGUCGCAAGACCAAAGAGGGGGACCUUCGGGCCUCUUGCCAUCAGAUGUGCCCAGAUGGGAUUAGCUAGUUGGUGAGGUAACGGCUCACCAAGGCGACGAUCCCUAGCUGGUCUGAGAGGAUGACCAGCCACACUGGAACUGAGACACGGUCCAGACUCCUACGGGAGGCAGCAGUGGGGAAUAUUGCACAAUGGGCGCAAGCCUGAUGCAGCCAUGCCGCGUGUAUGAAGAAGGCCUUCGGGUUGUAAAGUACUUUCAGCGGGGAGGAAGGUGUUGUGGUUAAUAACCACAGCAAUUGACGUUACCCGCAGAAGAAGCACCGGCUAACUCCGUGCCAGCAGCCGCGGUAAUACGGAGGGUGCAAGCGUUAAUCGGAAUUACUGGGCGUAAAGCGCACGCAGGCGGUCUGUCAAGUCGGAUGUGAAAUCCCCGGGCUCAACCUGGGAACUGCAUUCGAAACUGGCAGGCUUGAGUCUUGUAGAGGGGGGUAGAAUUCCAGGUGUAGCGGUGAAAUGCGUAGAGAUCUGGAGGAAUACCGGUGGCGAAGGCGGCCCCCUGGACAAAGACUGACGCUCAGGUGCGAAAGCGUGGGGAGCAAACAGGAUUAGAUACCCUGGUAGUCCACGCCGUAAACGAUGUCUACUUGGAGGUUGUGCCCUUGAGGCGUGGCUUCCGGAGCUAACGCGUUAAGUAGACCGCCUGGGGAGUACGGCCGCAAGGUUAAAACUCAAAUGAAUUGACGGGGGCCCGCACAAGCGGUGGAGCAUGUGGUUUAAUUCGAUGCAACGCGAAGAACCUUACCUGGUCUUGACAUCCACAGAAGAAUCCAGAGAUGGAUUUGUGCCUUCGGGAACUGUGAGACAGGUGCUGCAUGGCUGUCGUCAGCUCGUGUUGUGAAAUGUUGGGUUAAGUCCCGCAACGAGCGCAACCCUUAUCCUUUGUUGCCAGCGGUCCGGCCGGGAACUCAAAGGAGACUGCCAGUGAUAAACUGGAGGAAGGUGGGGAUGACGUCAAGUCAUCAUGGCCCUUACGACCAGGGCUACACACGUGCUACAAUGGCGCAUACAAAGAGAAGCGACCUCGCGAGAGCAAGCGGACCUCAUAAAGUGCGUCGUAGUCCGGAUUGGAGUCUGCAACUCGACUCCAUGAAGUCGGAAUCGCUAGUAAUCGUGGAUCAGAAUGCCACGGUGAAUACGUUCCCGGGCCUUGUACACACCGCCCGUCACACCAUGGGAGUGGGUUGCAAAAGAAGUAGGUAGCUUAACCUUCGGGAGGGCGCUUACCACUUUGUGAUUCAUGACUGGGGUGAAGUCGUAACAAGGUAACCGUAGGGGAACCUGCGGUUGGAUCACCUCCUUACCUGAAAGAA